rnacentral:rRNA from 1 species
AUUGAACGCUGGCGGCAUGCUUUACACAUGCAAGUCGAACGGUAACAGGUUGAGCUGACGAGUGGCGAACGGGUGAGUAAUGCAUCGGAACGUGCCCGAUCGUGGGGGAUAACGCAGCGAAAGCUGCGCUAAUACCGCAUACGAUCUGAGGAUGAAAGCGGGGGACCGUGAGGCCUCGCGCGAUCGGAGCGGCCGAUGUCAGAUUAGGUAGUUGGUGGGGUAAAGGCCCACCAAGCCGACGAUCUGUAGCUGGUCUGAGAGGACGACCAGCCACACUGGGACUGAGACACGGCCCAGACUCCUACGGGAGGAAGCAGUGGGGAAUUUUGGACAAUGGGCGAAAGCCUGAUCCAGCAAUGCCGCGUGCAGGAAGAAGGCCUUCGGGUUGUAAACUGCUUUUGUACGGAGCGAAAAGGCCCUUUCUAAUACAAGGGGCUCAUGACGGUACCGUAAGAAUAAGCACCGGCUAACUACGUGCCAGCCGCCGCAGUAAUAC